AAAGAUCGCAGCCUCGUUGCACUCGACAGCUCCUACUACGAAAUCUUGUAGGAGCUGUCGAGUGCAACGAGGCUGCGAUCUUU
rnacentral:misc_RNA from 1 species